rnacentral:rRNA from 1 species
GUGCCAGCAGCCGCGGUAAUACAGAGGGGGCAAGCGUUGUUCGGAAUUACUGGGCGUAAAGGGCGCGUAGGCGGCCCGCUAAGUCGAACGUGAAAUCCCCGAGCUCAACUCGGGAACUGCGUCCGAUACUGGUGGGCUUGAAUCCGGGAGAGGGAUGCGGAAUUCCAGGUGUAGCGGUGAAAUGCGUAGAUAUCUGGAGGAACACCGGUGGCGAAGGCGGCAUCCUGGACCGGCAUUGAGCCUGAGGCGCGAAAGCUAGGGGAGCAAACGGGAUUAGAUACCCCGGUAGUCC